UACAGAGGUCUCAAGCGUUGUUCGGAUUCAUUGGGCGUAAAGGGUGCGUAGGCGGCGCGGUAAGUCGGGUGUGAAAUCUCGGAGCUUAACUCCGAAACUGCAUUCGAUACUGCCGUGCUUGAGGACUGGAGAGGAGAGUGGAACUCCGAGUGUAGAGGUGAAAUUCGUAGAUAUUCGGAAGAACACCAGUGGCGAAGGCGGCUCACUGGCCCGGUACUGACGCUGAGGUGCGAAAGCGUGGGGAGCAAACAGG
rnacentral:rRNA from 1 species